AAAAAAAAUACAAGGAUCAAAGUGGCAAAUGGGAAAGAACUAACCUAUGGAUGGAUGUAUGGCAUGAGGCUGGUAGGCUGGAAAAUUUGUUCCCAGAUACUAGUACCUUAGUGUCACACCAGCACAAGUCCAUAGCUGGUCACUGGUCUCCUCAAGGGUGGAACUUCAUUUUUAGAGGACGCUUAAAUGAUCGGGAGAUUCAGAUAGAUGCUGAUUCUUACAACACCAUUGGUCCACUCAACAGAUUGGAGGGUGGUUA
rnacentral:misc_RNA from 1 species